CCGUUUGCAGGUAAACAGAUGGACCCACGAAGUCCAGUUGAGCAGGGAAUUCAAAUUUUUUGGUUGAUGCUCUAUUAAUUGGUCUUUCCCUUUGCGGAGAGUCAGUUGAUAAGGGUGUCGUCGAAAGAUGCAUUUUCUCUGCUCACGAUGGAGCUCUGACUGCUCUUUGACUUUAAUCGUGUAAGGCAGCCCUAGAUAGUGAGAUGUUUCUUAGGAUUCGUUUCUACUGUUUGGGGUUCAUGAUGAAGUCAAACCGAGCAGGUGAAGUACUCAUUUCGAUGAGUUUUCAGGUUGUCGGUAUCUCUGCUUGAGUAGAGUGUGCUGGUCUUUGAAUUUUCGGCUCUUGCAGUUGAAGUUCGAGGAAGCUGUGCAUUCAUUAUACUCAAGUUGGGAUAUCAAUGAUAAUCCAGAGUAAGUAGGUCGGUCAUCCAUCUGACCCGUCUUGAAACACGGACCAAGGAGCUCAACAUCUGCGCGAGUCACUCGGUCUUGAACAGGCCAGAGAGGCGAAAUAAACAUGAAGGUAUGAUCCUAUUGAGUCUUUCGAGAUGAGAUGGGCGCAAUACCAACCUGCUUCAUGUGCUUAACGGCACUGAAGCGGCGUUUGAGCGUAGAUGUUGAUACCCGAAAGAUGGUGAACUAUACUUGGGCAGGACGAAGCCAGAGGAAACUCUGGUGGAGGUCUGCCGCGGUUCUGACGUGCAAAUCGAUCGUCAGACCUGAGUAUAGGGGCGAAAGACUAAUCGAACCAUCUAGUAGCUGGUUCCCUCCGAAGUUUCCCUCAGGAUAGCUGGAACUUAAUCCUCUGUAGCAUCCGGUAAAGCGAAUGAUUAGAGGUCUUGGGAUCGAAACGAUCUCAACCUAUUCUCAAACUUUAAAUGGGUGCAAGUGCUUGACAUUCUUGAUUUGAAGUCUCGUUGCGUAAGAGUCGUUCCAAGUGGGCCAUUUUUGGUAAGCAGAACUGGCGCUGUGGGAUGAACCAAACGUUGAGUUAAGGCACCCAAUGCCGACGCUCAUGAGACCCCAUGAAAGGUGUUGGUUGCUAUAGACAGC
rnacentral:rRNA from 1 species